AGUUGAACAGAUUUACGUGGUCAAGUUUGAAAGAUCAAUAUCAAGACCUGUUUAAUGUUUAACGCUUUGAUUUUAGCUAGAUUGGCCUGGGAAGGAAAUGAUCAUUUGCACAACUGGUGAGCAUCUCUGAAAAGUUGAUACUUCCAGAAGGACUAUGUCUAAUUAUCUCAACAGUAACUUUCUCUGUUUAUUGGAUAAAAUUACCAUUAAAAUGGCACUUAAAAGUACAGAAAGCUGGUAGAAUCUAACAAACUAUACAAAGAGCAAGUCAUGCAGCUGGUAGCAUCUAAAACAUCUAUGCCUAGUGGUCAUCAAACUUUUCAGCUUUUUGGGGUUACUUACCUUUCCCUUAUAGAGCUCAGUGGGGCUUCAAAAAAUGUUGUUUUUUUUAGUUGUUUGAGAGAUUUGUCCUUAAAUCAUCUUAAAAACAUCGACUGUACAAAAUGUCUUGAAUAAAAAUUUUGCCUUGCUUUA